rnacentral:rRNA from 1 species
GAUGAACGCUAGCGGGAGGCUUAACACAUGCAAGUCGAGCGGCAGCACGGACUUCGGUCUGGUGGCGAGCGGCGCACGGGUGCGUAACGCGUAUGCAACCUGCCUUAUACAGGGGGAUAGCCCAUGGAAACGUGGAUUAAUACCCCAUAACAUCAUGAAUUCGCAUGGAUUUAUGAUUAAAAUUCCGAUGGUAUAAGAUGGGCAUGCGUCUGAUUAGCUAGUUGGUGAGGUAACGGCUCACCAAGGCGACGAUCAGUAGGGGUUCUGAGAGGAUUAUCCCCCACACUGGUACUGAGACACGGACCAGACUCCUACGGGAGGCAGCAGUGAGGAAUAUUGGUCAAUGGGCGAGAGCCUGAACCAGCCAUCCCGCGUGCAGGAUGACGGCCCUAUGGGUUGUAAACUGCUUUUCUACGCCAAGAAACGGCCCUACGUGUAGGGCACUGACGGUAGCGUAGGAAUAAGCAUCGGCUAACUCCGUGCCAGCCGCCGCCGUAAGAC